GAUGAACGCUAGCGAUAGGCCUAACACAUGCAAGUCGAGGGGCAUCACAUGAAGUAGCAAUACGGAUGGUGGCGACCGGCGCACGGGUGAGUAACACGUAUGCAACCUGCCUUCAACAAGGGGAUAACCCGUUGAAAGACGGACUAAUACCCUAUAACACAGGGGUCCCGCAUGGGAAUAUUUGUUAAAGGACAACCGGUUGAAGAUGGGCAUGCGUUCCAUUAGCUAGUUGGCGGGGUAACGGCCCACCAAGGCAACGAUGGAUAGGGGAACUGAGAGGUUUAUCCCCCAACUGGUACUGAGACACGGACCAGACUCCUACGGGAGGCAGCAGUGAGGAAUAUUGGUCAAUGGACGCAAGUCUGAACCAGCCACGUCGCGUGAAGGAAGACGGCCCUACGGGUUGUAAACUUCUUUUGUAAGGGAAUAAAGUGUAGUACGCGUACUAUUUUGCAUGUACCUUACGAAUAAGGAUCGGCUAACUCCGUG
rnacentral:rRNA from 1 species